CCGGUUUAAUAUGGAACCCUAAGGUUGAUUGCCUUGUUCGUAAACCCCCCCCCAGUGUUUUGUAUCAUCAGUUGCGGGUCAGUAUUAACACUAAUGAGCAUUAAUGAAAAUUUUCUGUACUGUGUAUGAGGAAUAAAACAGCGAAGAGCCGUGUUACUAAACAACGUCUAGAUAUGAACACCUUCGAAUAUUAUUUGAAUUUUUUGCUCGUUAGUCUAGUUACACGUAAGAUAACAACAUUAUCUACGUUUGUGCUUGUAUGGAGUAUCUAAUUUGGGUUAACUUAUACUUGAUAAAACGUCUUCCAAGAAAGUGAAUACGUUUAAAGGGUUAAAAUGGACGCAGCUUACAGUUACGAAACAGUCUGGCAAUUUGCAGGGAAUUCGGUAUGAACUUCAUGACAUUAGAAGCCACAAUGACGUCAGCUGCCUUAUUUUGUAACAUUGUGUAAUGUGAAAAUUGGAUUCUGUACUUUAAUAUAUGUGAUAAAUGUUUACAAAAUA